UCUUGCCUACAAGGACAGACGGUUACGUUGUUACCGUUAACUGAAACUGAGCCUAUCACUUUUUGGCGGAACAUGUUUUUGAUCUGAUUGACGAGCUUACAUGAGCUCAUGGCAUAAGGCUCUGACAUUGUGCCACCGUGGAUGACAUACCAGCAUUCUGAAACGAUAGUGGCAGACGCCAACAGGUGAGAUGAUAGCCUUAAACAAAAGCCACCGACUACAAUGACAGAAGAUGGCGGAAAGAGAAGAGAGUUUUCUGAAUAACUCUGAAGGAAACAAGAAAACAGAAAGGUGGGAAACAUAUCUUCAGCGCUUCUAAGAAAGACAAUCUUUCACUUUCAGCAUUGCAGUAUCAGAAUGUGAAAGAGGCGCUCACCAUGGGACAGCUCGAAGAGCCAGAGGAGGCACGCCAGGAGCUUGAAGAAGAGCACCGCUCCCCUGCUCAACGCCAUUGGACUGAACCUUGAGAAGCCUCCACCAAGAAAGCCAAGGAAGAGCUCUUCACCAGCAACAGGCCAGCUGCUCGACCUGCCGCCCUCCCUCAACCCUCUGCUCCCCACCUCUCAACCUCGCUUGCCGCGUUCGAGCUGGUUUAUGUAGCCAGCCCGGCGUGGUGCGUUGGAGACUUUCGAGUGCUUGAAGGAAGGCAACAUCAGAGUGCUGGCUGAGGGUGCAUUGAAGAGAGCUCACCGGCUGCAGUAAGGGCCAUUCAAUGCCGAGGGAGCACUACCUUGGUACAACUGGGAUUUAUGGGCUUCAUCAACCAACCAACCAUCACAAAGCUGCGGCGAUGGCGCCCCUCCUAAGGGCUUGUUUGGCAGGGUUUCGGCUUCUCCAAAAAUAGCUCCGACUCUGGCUCUUCAGAUGGAGCGGUUUCUCUGGUAGAGCUGGAGCCGUUUUAGAAAAUGUUUAGCAAAAUAGCUUCACUUGUUAGAUUGAUGUGUAAGCCGUGUGAAGCCACGAUUUUAUGGCUUCACCUUGCCUGUGUAAGCCGCUGAUGGCUUCAAAACCGGAUUCACACGUGAAGCCGGUUACCAAACGGCCGUUUGGGAGGGCUUCGCCUGGAGCCGCUCGUGAAAUCCUCCCAAACAGGACUUAAAUUGCAAGAAUGACAGGCAGCACAGCUCUCCCUUUAUCUUCUCU